GCCAGAAUAGUGUAGUAGGAACACGGCUACCUUGUAAGUAGCAAUCCUUGGUGCGAUCCCAGGUUCUGGUA